UACGUAGGGGGCAAGCGUUGUCCGGAAUCAUUGGGCGUAAAGAGCGCGUAGGCGGCCCAGUAAGUCCGCUCUGAAAGUCAGGGGCUCAACCCCUGGAUGCGGGUGGAUACUGCCGGGCUCGAGUCCGGAAGAGGCGAGUGGAAUUCCCGGUGUAGCGGUGAAAUGCGCAGAUAUCGGGAGGAACACCAAUGGCGAAGGCAGCUCGCUGGGACGUGACUGACGCUGAGACGCGAAAGCGUGGGGAGCAAACAGG
rnacentral:rRNA from 1 species